AUAAAUAUCGUUCAUGAUUUAUUAUUUUAGGUGACAUUAUCUUGCCUUCCAUACUAUUCUGCAGCUUCCAGAUGACCCAUUGUAGAUUGUCUGAUUCUAGAACCCAACAAGCAUCUGGUUUCCGUGGUGCUUGGAAUACUGUUGGCUUGCUGUCUGGUUGUGAUCAUAAUCCUCUUUCUAACCAGAAAUAAAAAACUAGUUUGUGAGCAUUGCAAAGGAACACUGAGUUCCUCCUACCAUGUGGCAACUGACUCAGGGAUUCAGGAACAACAGGACAGGGAAACGGAUUCCUUGAAUUACGCAGCGUUGGAUUUCCCUGGCAGGAAAACCAAAAGGGGGAAAAAGAACAGUGAACGGACUAAGGAGAGUCUGUAUUCUGCUGUGAGAGAAACCCGCC